rnacentral:rRNA from 1 species
GAUGAACGCUGGCGGCGUGCCUAAUACAUGCAAGUCGAGCGAACAGACGAGGAGCUUGCUUCUCUGACGUUAGCGGCGGACGGGUGAGUAACACGUGGAUAACCUACCUAUAAGACUGGGAUAACUUCGGGAAACCGGAGCUAAUACCGGAUAAUAUAUUGAACCGCAUGGUUCAAUAGUGACAGACGGUUUUCCUUUCACUUUUAGAUGAAUCCGCGCCGCAUUAGCUAGUUGGUAAGGUAACGGCUUACCCAGGCAACGAUGCGUAGCCGACCUGAGAGGGUGAUCGGCCACACUGGAACUGAGACACGGUCCAGACUCCUACGGGAGGCAGCAGUAGGGAAUCUUCCGCAAUGGGCGAAAGCCUGACGGAGCAACGCCGCGUGAGUGAUGAAGGUCUUCGGAUCGUAAAACUCUGUUAGUAGGGAAGAACAAAUGUGUAAGUAACUAUGCACGUAUUGACGGUACCUAAUCAGAAAGCAACGGCUAACUACGUG